CCCGACUUUUUCACUAUAGCUUUUCAUUUUUCGCUCGAACAGAGCGGAAAACGAAAACACGAUUUUUCCGCCUAUUCGUAAAAAAAAUUUUUCGAGAAAAAUUUUUUACAGAGAACCAAACAAUGGAAAUCUAUUUUUCAACUGAAAAAAAAUUUUCGGACUCAUUUUACAUGGAUCCAAACACGCCCUAAGCGCUUGGUGUUAUCGAUAGUAUCCCAACCAUACUCUUUGAAACUAGGCUGGAAUAUUAUCGACAGCACCAAGCUAUUGGUGCUAUUAGGUUUUCAGUCUUUGGAUAACAAAAUGUACGGUUAGGAUGAUGUGGGCUCUAUAGGUUUGAGUCAGUUAUUGGUUAAAUAGUAUAAUCUAAAGGGUGAAAAUAGUCAGAGAAUUAAAUCUAACGGAGGAAAACUCGGUAGCACCAAACGCUUGAUGCUAUCGAUAGUAUUCCAACCGGACUCUCUCUCUCUCUCUCUCUCUCUCUCUCUCUCUAUAUAUAUAUAUAUAUAUCUCUCUAUAUAUAUAUAUAUAUAGUGAGGCUACUAUGCUAUCGGAAGCACGGAGCCUUCCGUGCUUCCAGCUCGUUUUCGAUGUUGCGACUUUCGAAUCGUCAAUCGGCUCCGUUAAACUUGAUCUAGAGUAUUUGGAGUAUCUAGAAAAUAAAUUUGAUUAUUUUUCGAUAUCAUUUGCCUAGUGAUCGAAUGGGCUCAAAAUCAACAAAUUUCAAUGGCCGUAGUGAGCCGUUUGCAAGUUUAACGGUGUAGAAAUAUCCAAAUCACGUGAAAUUUUGAUAGAAAAUUCUUUAUACUAUAUAAAACAAGAUCAAUAUCUUUGAUUUAAAAUUUUAAUGUCAUAUUAUUACAUUUUGUAAGAUUUUUAUUUUCAGCCGUUGAUUUUGAGCCCCUUCGUUCAUUAAGCAAAUGAUAUCGAAAAAUAAUAAAAUUUAUUUUCUAGGUACUCCAAAUACUCU
rnacentral:lncRNA from 1 species